rnacentral:rRNA from 1 species
UACGUAGGGUGCAAGCGUUAAUCGGAAUUACUGGGCGUAAAGCGUGCGCAGGCGGUUUUGUAAGUCUGUCGUGAAAUCCCCGGGCUCAACCUGGGAAUUGCGAUGGAGACUGCAAGGCUAGAAUCUGGCAGAGGGGGGUAGAAUUCCACGUGUAGCAGUGAAAUGCGUAGAGAGUGUGGAGGAACACCGAUGGCGAAGGCAGCCCCCUGGGUCAAGAUUGACGCUCAUGCA